NNNUCUCCAUUCUAUGUGCAUCCCUCCUGAAGCUGCACGCUGGGUUGAAGAGCAUGACCUUCCCUGAACAGAGGAGCACUGGUCCUUGGCCAAGGGUACACAAGCAGCUGUGCUCCCCUGCUAGAAACUCUAAGCAAGUGCUCAAGAAAAAGGGGUUCAGCAAAGAGGGAUGAGUGGGGGACAAAGGAGAGGGUGGGAGGGAAUUAUGUGAUUUAAAUUAUAUGCAUUAUUGCUUAUUUAAGAGAAAGAGAAGCAAGGAGA
rnacentral:sRNA from 1 species